rnacentral:rRNA from 1 species
CUCACACCGGUCUGAACUCAAAUCAUGUAAAACUUUAAAGGUCGAACAGACCUUCUCUUAUAGUCUCUACUCUAUAAAGAACCUUUAAUUCAACAUCGAGGUCGCAAACUCUCUUGUCGAUAAGAACUCUCAAAGAAAAUUACGCUGUUAUCCCUAAAGUAACUUAAUCUUUAAUCCCUUUUAGGAUCAACAAUUCAAAUAUUAUUGUAAGAACAAAAGACAGUUACCCUUUCCUUAUAUCCUUGUCACCCCAACAAAACAAUUUAAAAUAGUAACCUUAAAAUAAAAUUAGUCUCCACCUUAAAAUAUAAAGUUUUAUAGGGUCUUAUCGUCCCCUUAGAUCAUUUAAGCCUUUUCACUUAAAAGUUAAAUUCAAUAUAUUAAUUUAAGACAGAUUAUUUCUUGUCCAACCAUUCAUUCUAGCCUCCAAUUAAAAAACUAAUGAUUAUGCUACCUUUGCACGGUCAUAAUACCGCGGCCUUUCAGUUCUCCAAC